UUGAUGUCUGCUUCGCUUUCGACAAGCCUCUUUGUAAACCACCCCUUCUGAAUUAGAAUCGUUUUCCAAAAGCUCUUAAGCUAUGAUUAAUGCCAGGGCUGUUUUUAACAAUCAUCCUGCCAGUCUUAAGCUGUAGUCAUUUUCAAUAAUUUGGAGCGCUCAAAGGCAAGCCAGGGGUUUGUUGACAACAAAACCCAGAAGAGCCAGGCAGGCAGCCACAAAAGAUGGAGAAGCAGAGGGACCACUUGGGCUUAGCUGGCUUUCUGCUCCUAGAGUUUUGCCACUGAAAGUUUGAUUGAAUGCUCACAAUGCAUUAAGGAUCCAACUGUGAACAUGGCUGGGUGAGAGGGUUGCCAGCCUGGCUUUUGUGUGAACAGACGAGCAGCAUGUUUGGAGGGCUUCUGGUUUACUUAUGGACACGUGUGGUUCAUUCAUGCCGUCCCCAAACCAAAGCCUCCUGUGUCUUCCUUCUGCCAACCUGGAAGGCCGGGAGAGAAAAGUCAUCCCUUUUGCUUUGGAGACUGUUGGCCUCUCAGGAAUGCUGAACAGGUUUCUGGUUAGGAUUUGGGAGAGCUGACAAUCUCCCCAGCCAUGUUAGGAUGUGGGGGAGCUGACCGUCUCUCCAGAUCUCUUUUUAAUAUUGGCAAUUUCAUGUAAGAGUUUCCACCUGUUUAAAGCCCAGACCAAGUGAAGUUGUUGCAAACAAUGCCAUGAUCCCAGGUUUCCUUAAAUCAGACUUCCACGGCUAAAAUUUUCAGUUCAUUGCUUUCUCCGGUAGGAAAAUGGGCGAUAGGAGUUUUAACCCAGUGAGUUAGGUGUGGUUGGUAUAGUUUAACCCAGUGAGUUAGGUGUGGUUGGUAUAGUUAUGUCUCAAUUCAACCCUGCCUCCCAGGUGUGUCGCCAGUGCAAGGAGAAUCCCAGGAGAGCUGGGGGUGUUCACAAACUGACUUCCAAUACUUCCACCAACCAUGGAUGACAGCAGGGUCCCUAGCACGUGCCUACGGUUUAAUCUUCCAGAUGCUUUCUUCUGAGGCAGAGUGAAUGGACUCCCAGUGCCUGGUCUCUGGAGCCAUGUUCCUGGCUUAGCUAGUGUUGCUCCAAAAGGUAUCAAAAUCUUCCAGGGAUACUCCAAGGCCUUGGAAGAGCUUUAAUGGGGAUUCCUGGCAAGUUUUCAGUGGACACUGUCCUGCUGUAGGUAUCCUGCCAGGGGUCCUGAGCCUUUUGGGAAAUGGCAUUUCCUCAAGAGUGCUUGUUCCCUUACAUACCUUGUGUCAGCCACUCCCCCAAACUAGAGACUCCGGCAUCAUUCUCAAGUCUCUCCUCUCCAUCACCCAUCUUCAUUAGGUUACCAGAUCCUGCCCAUUGCCCUCUAGAUGCUUCUCCGACUCCAUCUAAACUUGUAUUUGCAUGUCACCAACCUGGCCUGUGCCUCUUCAACUCAAAGAAUGUGACAGUCUCCCACCCUGGCUUCCCUGCUGUCUGCCCACUAACUCCAUCACUAGACCUAAUGACCUACCCUGGGUUCCUCCCCUGCUCAGGCAAAGCUCUUGCUUGAUUUUGGGUUCAUCAUCAACUCAUUGCUCACAACAUGCCUUCACCUCACUCUGGCCUUCAGCCCUACUCCAUGACCCUCAGCUACAUGCCCUGUGCUGUUCUGUGCACUCAGACUACUUCAGCACCCUCCCCACCUCUGUGCCUUGGAAAAUAGGGGAGUCCCCCCCACCCCGGGCGGGGCUAAUUCAGGAUGUUUCCCUUUGCCUUCUCAGUCCCUCAUUCUGACCUCAUAUCCUUAUCUCAUAUCAGAACUAUUUGUUUACUUUUCUGUCUCUCUCAAUAAAACAGUAAAUUCCUUGAAAUUAGAGACAGGAUCAAAUCCAGCUCUGUAUCUCGAAAACCAAGUGUGGUAUCUGGCUCUGUGCUCAAUAAAUUAUUGGAUAGUAAGAGACUAUUUUUUUUUUUCAUCUGUGGUUGGAUGGGUCUUCUUCUGUCUGUCUCUUUUCUGGAAAUAGGUGGAUAUGGCCUGUUCUCUUCUUUCUAACCAGUAGUUCUCAAAUAGCUCCAACUCCUCCUGCCUGCUUUGUGGAAUUGGGGUUUUGUUCCUUCUUGUCACAGUCAAAGUUGUUGGUUGUUUUUCGUUUUCUCUUUCCCAUCCUGACCCAUUAUCUCUUUAGUCCAGUUUAUCUGUUGAGUUCCAUACUAGCUAACACCUUCAGGGCUUGUGAAUGUAUUUGAUGCUGAAAAGGAAAUAAAUAGGAGCUCCAGAAUCCAGAGGAGACAAGAAAACUGCCCCUCAAAUGUGUUCAGUGUUCAAUUAAACACCUACAAAACUACAACAUUGUCAACCAAUGAGCAACCCACAACAAAACUGAAUUUUUAAACUCUAGGCCUUAAGUGUAAGUAGUGGAGGCUGUAGGCUCUCACGGUGUGGAAGCAAACUUCAGUUUUGAGGUUCUAGGCCCUGUAAAGGUUUCUAAACCACCACAACCCCCAUUUCUUUUCUUUCCUCAACUCUUCCUUCCCAUCCCUGGUCUCGUCAUCUGUCCUCUUUUUCUUCUCUCUCCCACCUCUUUCCUUGCUCUUCCCCUGUCCUUUUCUCUCCCCCCUCUCCUGACUCUCCCUCUCCCUAAGUAUAUAAAACAAGUUCUGGAGGAAGCUGGUCAGGGAAAAGGAGCAGAGCUGGCAGGUAGGCAGAAGGUGGCCCUUCUCACGACUCCACUCUUACACAUCGGGAGCUCAGCGUGGCAAGCUCUUCUACUCCAGAUAGUCACAGAACGCUGCAGAUACGUUAAGUGUUCAAUUAAACACCAUCUUUAGCCAUGGUUCUCCCUUGUGCAGCAAGGACACUUGCAAUCGGUAGGGAUAUGUGACCUGCACACCCAAGCUUCAAGACUACAAAAGGCAAGCUGUCCAGGUGGUGCCCCCGGCUUCAGAGGGCAGCUGUCUUCCCAUCCCAUGGCUGUGUUCCAGCUGUGGGGUUUUCUGGUGCAUGGGGCCUGAGCAGUGUUUCCAGCGGUACCUCUGAUCCAGCCUGUGACCUUGGGCAGUCGCUGCCUCCCUGAACCCCGCUUUUCCUCUGCAAAGAGCCUCAAUCCCGAAUUGUUUCCAGUCCUUCGUAAAGUGCUUUGCCCUCUUAGGUCCAAGGCACCACCUGUGAGCAAAAGGGAUGCUGUUGUCCCAGGGCAUUUAGAACCCCCGACAAACUGUACUGCCUGCUCUUGAGUUGGAAAUUAAAAAGCUGUAAUACAUGAUGACUAAUACCACUGCUGUUUCCUGAUGUCCUUGCCAUCUUGGGGUCGUCCAGUGUGGGCCCCUUUUCUUUCAAAAUAAAUAAAACUCUUUUGUGAA